rnacentral:rRNA from 1 species
GACGAACGCUGGCGGCGUGCCUAAUACAUGCAAGUUGAGCGAUGAAGAUUGGUGCUUGCACCAAUUUGCAGAGCAGCGAACGGGUGAGUAACGCGUGGGGAAUCUGCCUUUGAGCGGGGGACAACAUUUGGAAACGAAUGCUAAUACCGCAUAACAACUUUAAACAUAAGUUUUAAGUUUGAAAGAUGCAAUUGCAUCACUCAAAGAUGAUCCCGCGUUGUAUUAGCUAGUUGGUGAGGUAAAGGCUCACCAAGGCGAUGAUACAUAGCCGACCUGAGAGGGUGAUCGGCCACAGUGGGACUGAGACACGGCCCAAACUCCUACGGGAGGCAGCAGUAGGGAAUCUUCGGCAAUGGACGAAAGUCUGACCGAGCAACGCCGCGUGAGUGAAGAAGGUUUUCGGAUCGUAAAACUCUGUUGGUAGAGAAGAACGUUGGUGAGAGUGGAAAGCUCAUCAAGUGACGGUAACUACCCAGAAAGGGACGGCUAACUACGUG